GAUGAACGCUGGCGGCGUGCUUAACACAUGCAAGUCGAACGAUGCAGCCCAGCUUGCUGGGUGGAUUAGUGGCGAACGGGUGAGUAACACGUUAGUAACCUGCCCUUAACUCUGGGAUAAGCCUUGGAAACUGGGUCUAAUACCGGAUAGGAGCUCCUACCGCAUGGUGUGUGUUGGAAAGAUUUAUCGGUUUUGGAUGGACUCGCGGCCUAUCAGCUUGUUGGUGAGGUAAUGGCUCACCAAGGCGACGACGGGUAGCCGGCCUGAGAGGGUGACCGGCCAAACUGGGACUGAGACACGGCCCAGACUCCUACGGGAGGCAGCAGUGGGGAAUAUUGCACAAUGGGCGAAAGCAUGAUGCAGCGAAGCCGCGUGAGGGAUGACGGCCUUCGGGUUGUAAACCUCUUUCAGUAGGGAAGAAGCGAAAGUGACGGUACCUGCAGAAGAAGCACCGGCUAACUACGUG
rnacentral:rRNA from 1 species